AGGCCUUAACAAUCAAUCCAGGUACAUAAAUUACAUGAACUAGCAUGUAUACAAUGUUUUUCAAAUGCAAACAAUGUUGUUUCUCUUCAGACACAAUCCCUAGAAAGUGCACAUAAAACGUGCAAACAUUAAGACAUUUUGUGCGUUGUAAACACAUAUGUACCGAUAUUACUCAAAACCUAAACCAGCUAACGUUAGAUCUCAAAAGUGUGUAUUGCCACACACUUUCUCUUAUGAAUAUUGUACUUGUGAUUUCUAAAAGUGUUUUUUCUGUAUAUUUUGUGUUACAGGAAACUUCCACCCAAGCAGACGUUGAGGCCCAGAUUUCCCUGCCAAGCACUCUUAAGACUCAUCAUGCUCGGAGAGUCCAUUCUGGGGGCAAAUAGGUGGAUGCUUUCCAUCGAGGGCAGAGUUCUCCAACCAAAUCCAACUGAGUGACCGUUCCAAAUUCACUUCUGCUCUGGCUGUGCUUUUUGCAUCAUACUAUAUAUUUAACAUGGAAUAUCCUGCGGAGGCAACCACUACAUUAGAAUUUAUCCAGAGGGUAGAAGACUCCAGCCCAGGAAAUUGACUAAUUCAGGCCCGUUUCUGAAGAAAAAUACAGUUCUGGGAGAAAAACAACAUUCAGGGACCAAAUUUAUACUGUUUGAAAUCCUGCUGUUUUUAAAUAAUUUCAUUUGCCUUUUAUACAUUCUAAUUUUAACCGAACAUUUUAAUACAUUUAAACAGGAUUGAUUUGUAUGUUCAGAAAAGUGUUGUUGUAUACAAAACGAAAUGAAAUGUUAACAAAAAAAUGUUUACCUAUUGAAGAUUUUUUUUUUUGCUAUGCUAUUUUUAUUUUAUGAAUUUAGA